ACAAUGGAGAGUUUGAUCCUGGCUCAGGAUGAACGCUAGCGGCAGGCUUAAUACAUGCAAGUCGUGGGGCAGCAUGGGGUAGCAAUACUCUGAUGGCGACCGGCAAACGGGUGCGGAACACGUACGCAACCUUCCUUUAACUGGAGAAUAGCCCCUCGAAAGAGGGAUUAAUACUCCGUAACAUAUCGAUAAGGCAUCUUAUUGAUAUUAUAGCUCCGGCGGUUAAAGAUGGGCGUGCGCCUGAUUAGGUAGUUGGCGGGGUAACGGCCCACCAAGCCUACGAUCAGUAACUGGUGUGAGAGCACGACCAGUCACACGGGCACUGAGACACGGGCCCGACUCCUACGGGAGGCAGCAGUAAGGAAUAUUGGUCAAUGG
rnacentral:rRNA from 1 species